rnacentral:rRNA from 1 species
UACGGAGGAUGCAAGCGUUAUCCGGAAUGAUUGGGCGUAAAGCGUCUGUAGGUGGCUUUUUAAGUCCGCCGUCAAAUCCCAGGGCUCAACUCUGGACAGGCGGUGGAAACUACCAAGCUCGAGUACGGUAGGGGCAGAGGGAAUUUCCGGUGGAGCGGUGAAAUGCGUAGAGAUCGGAAAGAACACCAGCGGCGAAGGCGCUCUGCUGGGCCGACACUGACACUGAGAGACGAAAGCUAGGGGAGCGAAUGGG